UUGAACGCUGGCGGCAGGCCUAACACAUGCAAGUCGAGCGGAUGAAGGGAGCUUGCUCCUGGCUUCAGCGGCGGACGGGUGAGUAAUGCCUAGGAAUCUGCCUGGUAGUGGGGGAUAACGUCCGGAAACGGGCGCUAAUACCGCAUACGUCCUGAGGGAGAAAGUGGGGGAUCUUCGGACCUCACGCUAUCAGAUGAGCCUAGGUCGGAUUAGCUAGUUGGUGGGGUAAAGGCCUACCAAGGCGACGAUCCGUAACUGGUCUGAGAGGAUGAUCAGUCACACUGGAACUGAGACACGGUCCAGACUCCUACGGGAGGCAGCAGUGGGGAAUAUUGGACAAUGGGCGAAAGCCUGAUCCAGCCAUGCCGCGUGUGUGAAGAAGGUCUUCGGAUUGUAAAGCACUUUAAGUUGGGAGGAAGGGUAGUAAGUUAAUACCUUGCUGUUUUGACGUUACCAACAGAAUAAGCACCGGCUAACUUCGUG
rnacentral:rRNA from 1 species